AAGUACAUAGAAUUAUUUAUAUUAUAAAUACUAAAUAUAAAUAUUAUUUAUAUAAAUAUAUUAUAAAAUAUGUAUUAGUGUUUUGGAAAAUGGUGAAAAUGUGAAAUGUGGGAUACAGAAACCAUAAAUAGCUCGAGAGGAUUUUUGGAUAGUUUAAAAGAUUAUUUGAAUUUUACUUUAUAACUUAGCUUUUUUCAGAAAUAUUUCCAUUCUCAGAUAAUUUAUUUAAUGUAUUGCAAUGCAAGAUAAACGAGAUUGGUUUCUGCGUAAAAAAAUUAGCGUAUUUAAAGAUAUUAUUAACAAAAAGAGAAAGACUUUGAAAAAUGCUCGAAUAAUAUGAUGGCAAGAAGUUAAGUUAAGCCUAAAAGGAAACGAAUAGGUACGCACUGAUAAUGUUGGAGAUGUCGAAUCGUGCUACCGCCAACUAUACAAUUUACCAGAUUUUCGAUCAAAUAUGUCAACGAAUGGAAAAUAGGUUUUAAGAAUUUUGAUGACCGAGACUUUCUUUAGCUGUGCAAUUUUAAUACAUUAAAAAAACACAUUUUCCUGAAAAACAAACAAAAUCUUUGAUGCGUCUUUAUGGACAAUAUUUUGACUUGAUUUCAUUAAGUUCAGAACUAACAGCUUUAUAUGAGACUGAGGAUAUUGAGUAUUGACACAAAAAAUAUUGCCAGUGAGUUACUAAUAUUUUUUCCACCUACCUCUACCGAAACUAUACAUUUCCUGACCUGAUUGUAGGAAGGAAAGGCGUACCUACUUUUCGUCCCUAGGGAGACAAGGUACUUUUACUCCCUAGGGAGUAUACCUAGUAGUAUGUAUACGUUUUAUAAAGGAUUUUACUUGUUUUCUUUUCCAAUUGAAUAUAAUCUGAUUAAAGAAAUGUCACAAUAUCCACGUUUGUACAAGGAAGUUAUAGACAAGUUUUCGAAAAAUGGUAGAAGAACUGAAUUACAUUAUAAAUAGGUGUUUUUACAAUUUUUUUUA
rnacentral:lncRNA from 1 species